rnacentral:tRNA from 1 species
GCGUUGUUAGUACAGUGGUUAGUAUUCCCGCCUUCCAAGCUGGAGAUCUGGGUUCGAUUCCCAGGCAACGCA